rnacentral:rRNA from 1 species
GAUGAACGCUAGCUACAGGCUUAACACAUGCAAGUCGAGGGGAAACGACAUCGAAAGCUUGCUUUUGAUGGGCGUCGACCGGCGCACGGGUGAGUAACGCGUAUCCAACCUGCCCAUCACUUGGGAAUAACCUUGCGAAAGUAAGACUAAUACCCAAUGAUAUCCCACGAAGGCAUCGGAAUGGGAUUAAAGAUUUAUCGGUGAUGGAUGGGGAUGCGUCUGAUUAGCUUGUUGGCGGGGUAACGGCCCACCAAGGCAACGAUCAGUAGGGGUUCUGAGAGGAAGGUCCCCCACAUUGGAACUGAGACACGGUCCAAACUCCUACGGGAGGCAGCAGUGAGGAAUAUUGGUCAAUGGGCGAGAGCCUGAUCCAGCCAAGUAGCGUGCAGGAAGACGGCCCUAUGGGUUGUAAACUGCUUUUAUAAGGGAAUAAAGUGGGUCACGUGUGACUUUUUGCAUGUACCUUAUGAAUAAGGACCGGCUAAUUCCGUG